rnacentral:tRNA from 1 species
UCUGGUUUAACAUAUAUUUAAUGUGAAAGAUUGUAAAUCUUUUGAAAGCAAAAUUGCUAACUAGGU